CCGUAUGCAAAAGAAAAAAAUAAACAAAGAAAAAAACCAAAACAAAACAAAACAAACCACAAAACUGAAGUCUGGGCUUCUGUGCAAGUUUUUACUUUUUUCCCUUUGGAGAAGAAAUAACGAGAUUGUCCUACCUGGCUAUUCUGUGCCUUGUGUUCAACCUGGAGCUGUUUGUCACGACGACCAGUAGGGAUUGUUUCCAGCACCAUGCAAAGAGCCGCAGUUUGUUUUAAGCUCCCUGGACACAGGCUUCUCCCCAGCUGGGAGGUGAGGCUGGCGAGGGAACACCACGCUUCCCGGGAUGCAAACCCGUGCAGGGGCACGCUGAGCGCGAUCCAGGAGUCACAGGAUGUCUGGGUGCGCUCCGUGCCCUCGAUAAGGGCUGCGAGGGGAAAGGCAAAGUUCCCGGGGCUGUGGCUGGAACGUGGCACCGUGUAGCACUGAGUAAAUAAAAACCGAGUGAUCCUUGGACUCGGGUGUGACACCAGGUAUUACAGAGGUUUGUACACCACGGGCAGGACUCCGGGUUUCAUCCGAGGGCAAUGCAGCCUGGAAACCCGGCGGGGCACCCUGCAGCCCGGGCAGACCUUGAGCUCAGCUUCUGGCGGGCGGCAGAUUUGUCCUCUCGGACAGCGCUCGGGGAAUUUCAGUCACAAAAUGUGUUCUUUCUUACAGGUCAGGCAUUUCUCUGCCUCCCAUAAGGACCUACAAAACGCGCACAGCUUCUGUGGGACAGUUGCUGGUUUGAGGAGUUUAUGGAGCCACUGAUUCGUGUUCCUGGAUUCCAUGGCUAUGAGGGAAAACCACAAAUAUCCUGCUGGGCUGUGGCUUCCUGCUGGGCUGUCAUGUGCUGGGAAAGAGCCAGGGCAAUGGACAAACCCCUUGUGACUUAUUAUGGAUGCUCAUCCUGCCAGCAACAAGCACACCAGACAUCCUGGGAUGAGAAAGUUUGGAAUGACACUGUGACAGGGAGCUGUAUCUUAGUUAGCCAGGAGUUUUGUGACUCUUUAAAAAUUUUGUAUUGUACUAUGUUUAAUUAGUUAAGGAAUGUCUGACUGUGGUAUUAGCUGGUUUUGAUUUAAGUCUGUAUUGGCUGAGGGUCAGUAAAAAACCCUGAGAAAUUACCUCACUGCACCUGCAAAAAGGAACUUCAUGGAUCCAUACCCCUUAAUCAAUAGCUGAAGAACAAAAUUCAAUAGAGAAUUGUUUAAUGGUUAUCAUAUAACUACAGAUUAAUUAGAUGUCAUAGAACAAGAAAGAUACCUAGAGAAAGUUAAGGUGGCAAAGGUCUAUACACCCUAGAAAACUUGAUUAAUACAUUGCAGGUGCAGUAAGGGACCCAUUUCAUAGGCUUGUACACCUCAGAAAACCUUAUCAAUGGUAAUGGUCUAACCAGGACAGUGAAUUUAAUAAAGCACUGUUUAGCUGAAUAAAACUUGGGUUA
rnacentral:lncRNA from 1 species